GUUUCUGUGGCGCAAUCGGUUAGCGUGUUCCGCUGUUAAUCAUAAAGGUUGAUGGUUCAAGCCCACCCAGGGACA
rfam:Macaca mulatta chromosome 1, whole genome shotgun sequence.